rnacentral:lncRNA from 1 species
UCCCCGCCCCCGCUGUCCCCAUCGCUGCCCGGGCUCUUCGCUUUUUUUUUCUUUCUUCCUUUUUUUGACGUCCCCGUGAUGUCCCCACGGCGAUUUCGGUCCCCACGACGUCCCCACGCCGCCCGCGACGGCCCCGUGACGCCCGUGGUACCCGCGACGUCCCCGUGUCCCCAAAUUGUCCCCGUGUCCCCCCACCCCGUGUUUUCAUGUCUCUGUGGCCCUACGUUGUCCCCGUGUCCCCAAUUUGUCCCCAUCUCCUCCGUGUCCCCGUGUCUUGGUGUCCCCUCGUUGUCCCCAUGGUGUCCCCGUGUCCCUCCCGUGUCUCGGUGUCCCCACAUUGUCCCCGUGUCCCCACCAUGCCUUGGUGUCCCCCUCGUCUCCACGUCUCACGUUGUCCCAAUGUCCCCACCUUGUCCCUGUGUCCCCGUGUCCUUCCCACAUCUUCGGCGCCCCCCCCCGGUGUCCCCGCGUCCCUCCCACGUCUUGGUGUCCCCACCUUGUCCCCGUGUCCCCUCGUUGUCCCCGUGUCCCCUCGUUGUCCCCACGUCUUGGUGUCCCCAUGUCCCUCCCACAUCUUGGCGCCCCCCCGGUGUCCCCGUGUCCCCCCCGGUGUCCCCGUGUCCCCACCUUGUCCCCGUGUCCCCGUGACCCCUCAUUGUCCCCACGUCUUGGUGUCCCCGUGUCCCUCCCACACCUCGGCGCCCCCCCCGGUGUCCCUGCGUCCCUCCCGCGUCUCGGUGUCCCC